rnacentral:lncRNA from 1 species
AAGUAUAAUCGAUUAUUUCCCGAGUCAGAAAAUCACUGUGCACUCUGUGUCAGAAUAAUCGAUUACCAUAAUUCAAUAAUCGAUUAUCCUCAAUCAGUAUUUCAAAAUUGUUACCAUUUCUAACCGUUUUGUCUCUAAAAUUUCUGCAGAUUUUCAUCUUCAAUGCAAUGCCAUCCUUCUCAUUAUAAAUAGGUGCUAUA